CCUACGGGGUGCAGCAGUGAGGAAUAUUGGUCAAUGGCCGGAAGGCUGAACCAGCCAUGCCGCGUGAAGGUCAGUGCCCUAUGGGCGUUAAACUUCUUUUGUGCGGGAGCAAUAAUGGUCACGUGUGGCCGGUCGAGAGUACCGUACGAAUAAGCAUCGGCUAACUCCGUGCCAGCAGCCGCGGUAAUACGGGGGAUGCAAGCGUUAUCCGGAUUUAUUGGGUUUAAAGGGUGCGUAGGCUGUGAGGUAAGUCAGCGGUGAAAUGCCGCCGCUCAACGGGGUGAAGUGCCAUUGAUACUGCCUUGCUGGAAUGCGGAUGCCGUAGGAGGAAUGUGUGGUGUAGCGGUGAAAUGCAUAGAUAUCACACAGAACACCGAUUGCGAAGGCAUCACACGAAUCCGCGAUUGACGCUGAUGCACGAAAGCGUGGGUAUCAAACAGGAUUAGAUACCCGUGUAGUC
rnacentral:rRNA from 1 species